rnacentral:lncRNA from 1 species
UUCCUCCUCUCUAUAUCUAUCCACCUUCCUUUCCUUGUUUUUCUCCCCUCCUUGUUAUAGACAAAACUAGUCGAAGACCCGCACGUUACAUGAGGUCGGAUGUACGAACAUAAUUUUUCUUCUAAAUCUGAUCAGAUUGAAAAAAAAAAUUAUAUAAUAUAAUAAAAUAAUAUUCAUUUAAAUUCUUAUGAUCACUUCAUCAACUAUCUAUAUAAAUAGGUUUUAAUUGUAAGAAUAUAAUAAUAUCAUAUAUUAAUAACAUAAUUUAAUGUGAAAAGGUGUUAGGUUUUAAUUGUAAGAAUAUAAUAA